rnacentral:misc_RNA from 1 species
UUGAUUUUAGUUAUUUGUGAACGUACUACGAACAAAACAAAAAAAUAUUAUAGUCAAAAAAAAAUUAAAUCA